AAUUCCGCUUGAAUCGAUCCAUCGAUUCUCUCUAGAAGCUGACGAAGAGGUUCUUGAAGGCCACGAAUGCUGGCUACUCUACCACCAACUGGAGCAGCACCCAUGUACUUCACCUGAUCGAUAAGAAGGCAACAAGAUCGAUCCAAAAAAAGUCUCUAGGAACUCACGACUAGAUUUUAAUUAAUAAAGAAGCAAUUUGCACAUCAGUUAAAUGAAGAAUUUUUACAAGGAGAUUCGAAGGAGUUUGAGUUAGUUCGUCACGCUCCGUGAAUCGUGAACGGAAUGAAAGUGACGAUUAAAAAUUCCGGGAGCAUAUUUGCCAUGCCAAGGAAAGUCCCUUUGUUUUUUUUUCUUCCUCCCCAUUUCCCCCUUUUUUCUUUUUUUUUUCUUUUCUUUUUUUAUUCUUUUCCUAUAGCUUCCUCCAUUUUGCUUAGAAGACCAGAGAUCAAGAUUGUAGCAAAACCAUGAUGAUUCUUUCAAACGUAGCGGUAGGAAUUAUUUCCAACUUUCUUUUUCAAUUUCUGCGAGAUAUCUCGAGCAUCUUUUCUCUGGAAAAUCGUUUUCUAACGCGUAACUGGCCGCGACUAAUUAAACGAUGAUCUAAUUAGCGAGACUCUUAACGUAUACACAAAUCUAUCGAGAUUUAUUUUCUAACUUUUGGAUUAUAUAUUUUAUUUCGACUAAGAUAAUCUCCUUAUAUCUCUAGAGAGUGAAACUUGACAGUGGUAUACUUGAUGAUUGGUGUUUGACGUGAAUGAAAAUUUCAUGAUUCUUUAAACGUAUUGUUCGUGCGGUGUGAAGUAAAGUAGCACAUAGAGUAGAAUCGACGUUUAUAUAAAUUUAUAGUCAUGGUGUAGCGUUAAUUAUCCGCUCGUAGAUUGAGAAGAAAGUUAAUUUUACCGAUCAACUCAAUUAUUGGGCAUUAUCCUUUCUUUUAUAACAAGUUCUUUUGUAUCUUUUGAUUUUUAGGAAAACGUUCUCACGACUUAAAUUCCUUUUUAAGUUUACUUCGCUCAGCUUGGAAGGAAAUUAAAAAUAAAAGAAUUUGAAUGAAAUUUUGAAAGAAAAAAAUAAAAGAGAAAAAGCUACCGGCAAUAUGGCAGCUGCACAUUCCCCUGGUGUUCCGCUUUCAGCUUCCACGGAAGCAAACAUCGCCUCGAUUCUUGCUUGGACCGCACUGUUUACUCUCUUUUGCUCUUCGAAACUUUGAUCUUCGCAAUGAAUCGAUGUUACCGUCGAGACACCAGCGUACCAACCACCAAGGGUAGAACUGCAGAUGGAUCUAAAAGGUCGAGUGAAUUUUUUGUACUCGUUUUAAUUUAAUUCCAAUUGGAUCGAGCGAAGGAGUCUUGAAUUUUCAAGAGAAGGAUAGCAAAGAUGAUCAGAAUCAAAAAAGUGGAUUUUCAUUCUCGUUUAAUUCACCUGCAGUCCUCAAAGAGAGCAUCGAUUCUAGCCUUGCUUCGAAGUGAACAUUCCGAUGGUGGCCCAGCCAAUCGGAAUCCAUCCCCGUAACAGGACAAUCCAGCAACAGACAUCUUUCUUUCCACUUUUGGAGACGUAUCAUCGAAAAAGAUCAAUAUCUAGAGUUGCUUUAAAGAUCCUUCAUUUCAUCCUGAUGGAUCCUUUCCAUUCUGAAAAUAAGUCGAUAAAAAAAUUAUUUACAAUAUUGUCAAGAAUUAUGAUAUCCUUGUGUCGAAGUUAAAGAAACGUCUAAGAUAUCUGAUAUUCCUUCUUCUUUUUCUUCUUCAUGGUAGGUGCCGUCGCUCGUGAAGAAGGCGUUAAAUUUAUGCGAGAAGUUAUCUGCUAUGAAGAUAAUUAGAGCCGAAUGUAAGACACAAAACGAGAUGAGGAAUCUUGAUAAGUAGUUGUUCAGCGACUAGAGGAGAGUUGUGUGAAGGGUAUGAGGCUAGGUUUAACGGUCUCUACGAGUAAAAGUACCGAGAGCGAGAUCGAGCCUAUGUGUGCUAUAUAUGUUUCAUGAUUUCGAGGGAAAGCUGCUAAAGUUUUGUGUUACACCGAGAAACACUUAACUCAGUCAUAACGCACAUACUAGAUCGCCUUAGGAAUUAUUUUUCUAAUAUGAUAAUUAAUUCUAAUAAGUAGGUAGGUAGGAGGUACGCGAUGAUCUGAUUAAAAGGUAACAUGAACUCUUUACAAUUUUAAUUUCAUUCUUUUGAUCAGUCCCGGAAAUUUUCAACGAAUUCCGAUCUUGUAUACUCAUUUUUUUCCUUGUUCUCUCUCUAGAAAAAGAAAAGAAAAGAAAAGAAAAAAAAGGAAUUUAAUUUGUAGGAUUUCGCCUGAUCAGGAAACACUUUAUACGACUCGAAAGGAAGAUUUACAGUUACGUAUCGAGUCGAAAAUUCUUUGAACUAGCUGCUUUUUGAUGAGAGACAGAGAGAGAGAGAGAGAGAGAGAGAGAGAGAGAAGAUCAACAUCUGUCGAAUAACUGUCUCCAUCUCUAUCUCUUAUUAAUCUUUAGACUGUAGCUCCAGGUACAUACAUAUAACACAUACAAGUAUAUGUAACGCAUAUAGACAGAAAUUAAUGUUAGUAUAUAGGAAUAUAAAAAAUGGCACACGCUUUCCGUGUGUUUCACGUGCCCAGUACGUUCCUCUCUACGUGACGGAAGCGAUUAUCGAAAAAUGGAAGAUUACGAAGAUAAUUGGAAUCUUGGAUAGGACAUGUUACAGCCGAGAAAUCUCUUCGUAUGAUCAUACAACACGAUUACCGAGUUCCAACGCGAAGCGAAUCUAGAGAAAAGCAGACGCCUCGUGCCGAGUAUAUUAUAAGUUAAUUGCCGUACUUAGCAUCUUAUUUCUCUCAUUUUUGCAAUAAACGCGAUGAUAGAAUGCUUGUUACUCAUCUUCGUGUAUUAACAAACUUCGUACGUUUUCCUUUUUUUUUCUUUUUUCUUUCUUUUUUUUUUUUUAAGGAUAAUGAAUUCACUAACUGACCGAGUUUUUAAUUCCGUGAACGUCACGAGAUAGAAAAGAAUUUAUCGUUCUAAAGGAAACGUAUUAUUGAUUAGUAUUGAUGAUUAUUCAUUAAGACUUAAUCGUUUUAAUAGAAGAUUUAUAAAUUAAUUAGGGAAUAUUUCAUAAUUAAUUUCUUUCUAUCCGUGUUACGUAUUAUAUGUAUAUAUAAGGUAAAGCAUUUUUGUUUAACGGCCUGUUAAACGAGCAAGAUUUUUUCAAGCAGCGUUUACCUGGCAUGUGACACGCAAUGAGACAACUUUGUCUCACCUUUUAACCCAGAAAACAUGGACCAGUUUCCGUGAUUUCUCGAAAAAAGAAGUUUUCGAUAUCAGUCUCCGAUCGCAUUAAAGUCGCAGGAUCGAUGUUACAACGAUUAUGACAUCAAUGAUCGUGCUACUAGAUCUAUGCGAGCAUCGUUCGAUCUGCAAUUACCAAGUUCACGGCUCGUUUAACACACCUAAUAGCAAUCGAUUUGAACGAUCAUCCGCUUCACAGAUUUAUUUAAUUUUCUAUUUCUAUAUGUACAGGAUUUCUUCUUCUUUUUUUUGAAGUAACAUUUUGUUCUUAUUUAAUUUUUAACAAUUAAUUUUUUGUAUGAUAAUGUGUUUUUUAAAUAAUUCGUUUAUUAAGUAUCAGCAUGUUUAUUAAAUCUAUUAGCCGAUUCCAGUUAGAUUCAACGAAUAACUCAGAAAAGACAGAAAACUUUUCUGAAUCAUUUAUUCAGGAAAUGCAACCUAAGAAGAUAAUAUUUAUCGAAGCAUGAAAAAUGGAAAACAAACCUUUGUAAUUCUUGUCAAAGUUCUUCAUUUGAAAUGUGGAAAUCAUUUGGAAGGAAACAUGACAAAAAAAAGAUUUCAAACGUAUCCGUAAAUUUUGUAACGUCAUUCGAAUUCACACUGACACACUGAACUCCUUUUUCAGGACAACGAAGAGGAUACUCCGAUGAACUCCAAUAAACGUCAGCAGUUUUUAGCAAGGUCCACGACCGCGGCGGGGGUUGCUUCCGCGUUGAAUAAAAAUCCUCGUUCUCUUUCGAGCAUCAACCUUGAUCGCGAGUCGAUCCGGAUGGCCGUCGACGAGAAACUGCCGGGGAUGUUCCGCAGGAGAGACUCCGGUUCUCCAGCCAGUGAGUCGAGGCGCCUCCAUGCUGAAACGAAGAGAAGGAGAAGGAUCAACGAACAGGGAAAGAGGAAAAGAAAGAGAGAGAUAGAGAGAGAGAAAGAGAAGAAAAAGUAUUUUAUAUCUAUCAGGGACUGGUACCCUCAAUAUUAAAUAUUAUAUAACUAAACAAUACUAAGUAACACGAAGAUAAAAGAUAGAGUAUAGUAUUUCAUUACUAUCAAAGAUUGCAACCAUACAUAUAUACGCAUAUAUGUAAAUGUAAAAUAAUACAAAUAAAUUAUCGUAAUUGUAGUAAGAAGGAUUCUUAGAAGCUGAUAAGAGUAUUCAGAGGAUUAAACCUAUCGAAAGAAUUUUGAGGAUUACAAUGCAGAAAGAUAUUUUUUUAAAAGAAUCUUUCGGAUCAAUCGAGUAGAUAGGUCCGAGACAUCAGACAAAUUGUCAGAUUAACUGAGAAAAUAAUUCGACCCAGUGAAUUGAAUUUGAUGAAUACUACCAUAAAGUGGAUGACUUGCUACAAAAGUUAAGUGAUAAGAUAGCAGAUUAUAAAGUAUUUUAAAGGAAGACGAGUUUUAUAUGAAUAUGUAUAUAUAUAUAUAUUCAUUUAAAUUAUUCAUAUAAAAAGAAGGAAAGGUGUUAUCAAGGGAACAAGUUCAUGGGAUAUUUUUGAAGAGGGACGAAGGAUUAAAUAAGGAGAAGACAUGAACACAGAAAGAAAAGGAAAGGCCUCGAGAAAGCUCUCUAGCAGUCAUGACGAUGCGUGAUGCAAUUACACAGUCUGCUUCCUUCGAAAAGGAACGCCUGAUCGAGCGAUUGUCACUUCGGGGAAAACACGAAGCGAAUUCAAGGAGGAAUUCAAAGAUAAAGAUUUGUAGACAUAUACAAACAACGGGAAGGGACAUCAAUAUUAAUUCUUUCAGUUGGAAUGACGUCUUCAAGAUGCUUGAGAGAGAUUUAAGUUAGAAAAAUCACGUAACAUUUGUCUAGAUUCUUGCUCUUGAAAAAUAUGAAAGUUAACUUGGUAAAAGUUUAUUAUCUCUAAAUAGACUAGUAUAUCUCUCUUAGAGAGCCAUUUAUUAAAUAACAAUGUGACUUAUCUAAUUAUGAAACGUGUGAUUUUAGAUAUAGACAUGAUAAUGAAUGAUCAUUAGAAUCGAUUGGUACAAUGUCGAUACUUAUGGUAAACUAAUUUCACUUACGACCUGAUUCUUUUGUAAUUGAGUUUUUAUAUAUAUAUAUAUAUAUAUAUAUAUAUAUAUAACUGUAAAUUAUGUAGGUAAUAUAUAUAACUGUAAUUCGCAAGUAUUUCGAUCGCUGAGCACCGCUGCUGUUCGCUACAUUAACGUAACAUUUUGAUUACAAUUUCGAUGUUAAGGUCACGAUGGUGAACUAUAAUCAUCGCUCGGCACAAUUUAUACUCAUCCAUUAUACGCAUGGCAACACGUGCAGGUUCUUCGUUGGAACGGGAAAGCAUUAAGCAGAGUUAUCGAUAGCCUUCCAUAGAUAUUUCAUGACUAUAAAAGUCAUUUUCGUAUUAGAAUAAAUAUUAAAAAGUUAAACGUAUUCAUUGAUAUCGGUAAGUUAGAGCUCUACAAUAAUCUUCUCUUAUGUAUCUUUUAUUAUUGUUUAGAAAAAUAUGAUAUGAUUCUAUCGUAUUUAGUCUAUAAGAAAGUAAUUAGAAAUGUUCAGAAAACGUGCUAGAAAAAGUGUGAUGAAAGUUACACCUUUGAACGACUUAUGAAUCACGUUCAUUUUUCUUUUUUAUUUUCUUUCUUUUUUUUUUUUUAACAUUACGACAUCCUUCGCUAAUCUAAUCUUCACCUGCCAACUCAUUGUAUAUUUUUACGAUGAUCAAUUGUAAAACAAGUAACGAGUUGUAUAAUUUUUAAAUUACAUAAUUACGCGUUGUGCAU